rnacentral:rRNA from 1 species
UACGUAGGGGGCAAGCGUUGUCCGGAUUUAUUGGGCGUAAAGAGCGUGUAGGCGGCCGCACAGGUCCGUUGUGAAAACUGGAGGCUCAACCUUCAGACGUCGAUGGAAACCGUGCGGCUAGAGUCCGGAAGAGGAGAGUGGAAUUCCUGGUGUAGCGGUGAAAUGCGCAGAUAUCAGGAAGAACACCCGUGGCGAAGGCGGCUCGCUGGGACGGUACUGACGCUAAGGCGCGAAAGCGUGGGGAGCGAACAGG